rnacentral:rRNA from 1 species
ACUCCUACGGGAGGGCAGCAGUGGGGAAGUCUUAGACAAUGGGCGCAAGCCUGAUCUAGCCAUGCCGCGUGAGUGAUGAAGGCCUUAGGGUCGUAAAGCUCUUUCGCCAGAGAUGAUAAUGACAGUAUCUGGUAAAGAAACCCGGCCUAACUCCGUGCCAGCAGCCGCGGUAAUACGGAGGGGGUUAGCGUUGUUCGGAAUUACUGGGCGUAAAGCGCGCGUAGGCGGAUCAGAAAGUUGGGGGUGAAAUCCCGGGGCUCAACCUCGGAACUGCCUUCAAAACUCCUAGUCUAGAGUUCGAGAGAGGUGAGUGGAACUCCGAGUGUAGAGGUGAAAUUCGUAGAUAUUCGGAAGAACACCAGUGGCGAAGGCGGCUCACUGGCUCGAUACUGACGCUGAGGUGCGAAAGUGUGGGGAGCAAACAGGAUUAGAUACCCUGGUAGCGACUGA